UGGGGAAUUUUGGACAAUGGGCGAAAGCCUGAUCCAGCAAUGCCGCGUGUGUGAAGAAGGCCUUCGGGUUGUAAAGCACUUUUGUCCGGAAAGAAAUCCUUGGCUCUAAUACAGUCGGGGGAUGACGGUACCGGAAGAAUAAGCACCGGCUAACUACGUGCCAGCGGCCGCGGUAAUACGUAGGGUGCAAGCGUUAAUCGGAAUUACUGGGCGUAAAGCGUGCGCAGGCGGUUUGCUAAGACCGAUGUGAAAUCCCCGGGCUCAACCUGGGAACUGCAUUGGUGACUGGCAGGCUAGAGUAUGGCAGAGGGGGGUAGAAUUCCACGUGUAGCAGUGAAAUGCGUAGAGAUGUGGAGGAAUACCGAUGGCGAAGGCAGCCCCCUGGGCCAAUACUGACGCUCAUGCACGAAAGCGUGGGGAGCAAACAGGAUUAGAUACCCUGGUAGUCCACGCCCUAAACGAUGUCAACUAGUUGUUGGGGAUUCAUUUCCUUAGUAACGUAGCUAACGCGUGAAGUUGACCGCCUGGGGAGUACGGUCGCAAGAUUAAAACUCAAAGGAAUUGACGGGGUCAUAGCUGUUUCCU
rnacentral:rRNA from 1 species